GAACGCUGGCGGCGUGCCUAAUACAUGCAAGUCGAGCCAAUGGAUUAAGAGCUUGCUCUUAUGAAGUUAGCGGCGGACGGGUGAGUAACACGUGGGUAACCUGCCCAUAAGACUGGGAUAACUCCGGGAAACCGGGGCUAAUACCGGAUAACAUUUUGAACUGCAUGGUUCGAAAUUGAAAGGCGGCUUCGGCUGUCACUUAUGGAUGGACCCGCGUCGCAUUAGCUAGUUGGUGAGGUAACGGCUCACCAAGGCAACGAUGCGUAGCCGACCUGAGAGGGUGAUCGGCCACACUGGGACUGAGACACGGCCCAGACUCCUACGGGAGGCAGCAGUAGGGAAUCUUCCGCAAUGGACGAAAGUCUGACGGAGCAACGCCGCGUGAGUGAUGAAGGCUUUCGGGUCGUAAAACUCUGUUGUUAGGGAAGAACAAGUGCUAGUUGAAUAAGCUGGCACCUUGACGGUACCU
rnacentral:rRNA from 1 species